ensembl:lncRNA
UGUUGUGGUGUCUCUCUUUAUGUAGUGUUGUGUUGUCUCUCUUUAUGUAGUGUUGUGGUGUCUCUCUUUAUGUAGUGUUGUCUCUCUUUAUGUAGUGUUGUCUCUCUUUAUGUCGUGUUGUCGUCUCUCUUUAUGUAGUGUAGUGUUGUCUCUCUUUAUGUAGUGUUGUGGUGUCUCUCUUUAUGUAGUGUUGUUGUCUCUCUUUAUGUAGUGUUGUGUUGUCUCUCUUUAUGUAGUGUUGUGUUGUCUCUCUUUAUGUAGUGUUGUCUCUCUUUAUGUAGUGUUGUGUUGUCUCUCUUUAUGUAGUGUUGUCUCUCUUUAUGUAGUGUUGUGGUGUCUCUCUUUAUGUAGUGUUGUCUCUCUUUAUGUAGUGUUGUGUUGCCUCUCUUUAUGUAGUGUUGUGGUGUCUC